UGCUCUAGGGGAUUAGUGGCGAACGGGUGAGUAACACGUGAGUAACCUGCCCUUGACUCUGGGAUAACCUCCGGAAACGGAAGCUAAUACCGGAUAUGACGCACGGAGGCAUCUCCUGUGCGUGGAAAGAACUUCGGUCAAGGAUGGACUCGCGGCCUAUCAGGUAGUUGGUGAGGUAACGGCCCACCAAGCCUACGACGGGUAGCCGGCCUGAGAGGGUGACCGGCCACACUGGGACUGAGACACGGCCCAGACUCCUACGGGAGGCAGCAGUGGGGAAUAUUGCACAAUGGGCGCAAGCCUGAUGCAGCAACGCCGCGUGAGGGACGACGGCCUUCGGGUUGUAAACCUCUUUUAGUAGGGAAGAAGCGAAAGUGACGGUACCUGCAGAAAAAGCACCGGCUAACUACGUGCCAGCAGCCGCGGUAAUACGUAGGGUGCGAGCGUUGUCCGGAAUUAUUGGGCGUAAAGAGCUCGUAGGCGGUCUGUCGCGUCUGCUGUGAAAUCCCG
rnacentral:rRNA from 1 species